rnacentral:tRNA from 1 species
UGUUGAGUGCCUGAUUAAAGGAUAAUCUUGAUGAGAUUAAGAAAGUAGACCCCCCCCUACCU